rnacentral:lncRNA from 1 species
CUGCAAAAGAAGUUCUGGCUGGAUGUAGCUCCAACAGAGACCCUCCGAUGUUUAAAUUAGAAUCAAGGGAACAAAGAUAAAAAGCGAUUGGGUAUUAGUUUUUUCGUACCUCCUAGGGUUCCCUUUUUGUUCGCCUUUUAUGGAUGGUAGCGAUAACUGCUUAAGGGCGAUGAUAGGGAUUAAUUCCGAUCAUUUCGGGUGCAUCAUGGUGAGAUUUGGGGCUAAAAUUAUCAGAAUUUGGUGGUUAUUCCUUCCUUAUAUGUUUCGUGGCCAGCUGAGUUGUAUCUUAUUCGAAAAAGAGUGGAAUUCUUAGGGCGUGUCCACUUCAAAUGUCCAUUUAAUAUAUGAGGCCG